rnacentral:rRNA from 1 species
UAACAAGGAUUCCCCUAGUAACGGCGAGUGAAGCGGGAAAAGCUCAAAUUUGUAAUCUGGCGCCUUUGGCGUCCGAGUUGUAAUCUCGAGAAGUAUUUUCCGCGCUGGACCGCACAUAAGUCUGUUGGAAUACAGCGUCAUAGUGGUGAGAACCCCGUAUAGGGUGCGGAUGCCCAGUGCUUUGUGAUAUACUUUCGAAGAGUCGAGUUGUUUGGGAAUGCAGCUCAAAUUGGGUGGUAAAUUCCAUCUAAAGCUAAAUAUUGGCGAGAGACCGAUAGCGAACAAGUACCGUGAGGGAAAGAUGAAAAGCACUUUGGAAAGAGAGUUAACAGUACGUGAAAUUGUUGGAAGGGAAACGCUUGAAGUCAGACUUGCAUUUUGGAGUUCAGCCGCAAGGUGUAUUCUUCAAUUCGCAGGCCAGCAUCAGUUUUGGGGGGUGGAAAAUCGUGGUUUGAAGGUAGCAGUCUCGGCUGUGUUAUAGCUUUCCACUGGAUUCACUUUUCGGGACUGAGGAACGCAGUACGCUUUUUGCAAGAUUCUCGGAUCUUUCGUACUUAGGAUGCUGGUGGAAUGGCUUU